rnacentral:rRNA from 1 species
AUUGAACGCUGGCGGCAUGCUUUACACAUGCAAGUCGAACGGCAGCGCGGGCUUCGGCCUGGCGGCGAGUGGCCAACGGGUGAGUAAUGCAUCGGAACGUGCCCAGUAGUGGGGGAUAGCCCGGCUAAAGCCGGAUUAAUACCGCAUACGAUCUGAUGGUGAAAGCGGGGGACCGAAAGGCCUCGCGCUAUUGGAGCGGCCGAUGACGGAUUAGCUAGUUGGUUGGGUAAAGGCUUACCAAGGCGACGAUCCGUAGCUGGUCUGAGAGGACGACCAGCCACACUGGGACUGAGACACGGCCCAGACUCCUACGGGAGGCAGCAGUAGGGAAUUUUGGGCAAUGGGGGCAACCCUGAUCGAGCCACGCCGCGUGAGGGAAGAAGGCCUUCGGGUUGUAAAACGCUUUUGUUCGGGAAGAAAUACUCUGGGCUAAUACCCCGGGGGGAUGACGGUACCGGAAGAAUAAGCACCGGCUAACUACGUG